GACAGAGGGUGCAAACGUUGGUUCGGAAUUACUGGGCGUAAAGCGUGUGUAGGCGGCCUACGUAAGUCGGAUGUGAAAGCCCUGGGCUCAACCCAGGAAGUGCACUCGAUACUGCGUGGCUAGAGUACUGGAGAGGUUGGGUGGAAUUCUCGGUGGUAGAGGGUGAAAAUUCGUAGAUAUUCGCAAGAACGACCAGUGGCGAAGGCGGA
rnacentral:rRNA from 1 species